rnacentral:lncRNA from 1 species
AUGAUUAUAUAUAUAAAAGAAUGGUUCGGUGGCUUUGAUGUGACAGCCACCGACCAUUCUCUUUAAGAUUAUAUAAAAUUUGCAUCGCAUCUACAAUUGGAUGUGUUUGUUCAGACCAUUGUCAAUAACGAAGAUAAAGUUUGUUUGUUUGUGUGAUUUUGAUGCAAUUAACCUAAAAGAAGUUUUGGUUGUGAAUCAAAUCAAGCAACGAAGGACAACCAAGUAUGUUGGUGGGAUAGAUUAUCUUUAAGAAAGGGAAACCAAUUGUCACCAUCGCCGGCUUCUACCAAAACAGUUCCAGAUGAACAAGGCCACGAUCUCCAUCGCAUCAACUAGUACGGAUCGAUUGCCUGUUUUAACGAUUUGAAGGUUCCUGUUGAUGGUGGUUCCUUAUAAUUAGCAUCAAGAUCUUGAUGUCAGAUUUGUAUUGGUCAAGAAUUUUGAUCCUUGCUCUAAUGAUUGUGCAUCCACCUAUUUGAGUAGAGCAAAAUUAAGUCAUGAAGCGGGCUGACCAAUCAUCAUCUUAAUGUAUAGUGGUACUGAAUAUAUGAAAGACAACCUAGCAACUAUACCCCCAAAAGACCAAGCAAUUCCUAAUGAAAACACACUUUGGGUGAUGAAGGUUGUAAGUUUCGUAGCUUUGAUACCUCAGGAGGUUUUGGCCACGCUAACUGUUGCAACCACUUUUACAUGGGUAAAUGGACAGUUGGGUAACGGGUCAAACAGGUUGGUGGUCAUCACACUCAGGUAGACAUUGCAGCCAAAGUCAAGGGGCCUAAAGAUGAAGUUCAAAUAUAUACCUGAAUGGACGCCAAAAAACGUGAGCUAAUGAUUCGGGAUAAAGAUUUGGCUCAUAUUGAAGAACAUACGAAGGCUUUUAAAGCCGAAGGAGGGGAUGUAAGCAUUUGGUGACCAAAAUGAAGAAGAAGAUUAAGCGGCCAAGUGAUAGUUAAUAGUACCAAGCCAAAGCAGAGACCAUGAAUUUUAGGAACUUGCAGCUUCUUUCUGGUAUGCUUCAGGUAAACGAGUAACGAAAUACUUGAGCAUCGCAACACGUGUUAGAAGUUCUCUUAGGAUUGCAGAAAGGCCAAGUUUUGUAUCUGCAUUUCGCUGAUCCAAUUGUGGGAAUAUGAGCCCCAAUGUGCUUGGGGCAUUCUGCACCGAUACUGGACUACCCUGUGACUUUAAUCAUAGUACUUGUGAUGGGAAGAAUGAGUUGUGUUAUGUUCGAGGACCAGGGUUCAUAUUCUUGAUUUCUAUACAUUCUAUAUAGGUGGUAAGAUCAUUGGGUUAGGUCUAAACGGUUCAACUUUUGUCGGUUGUCUCUGAUCGUCUUUACAAGUGCUUUUGUCGGUUGUCUCUGAUUGUCUUUACAAGUGCUUUGCUAUGUGUUAGGUAUAUUAUACAUCAAUAUAUGAUAGCUUUUGAUGAAACAUCCCACAUAUUUUGGU